rnacentral:tRNA from 1 species
GGAGGGGUCGCAUAGUGGUCUAGUGCGGGCGCCUGCUAAGCGCUUGCCCCGGUAAAACGGGGCCGUGGGUUCGAAUCCCACCCCCUCCGCCA